rnacentral:tRNA from 1 species
GCUCGCCUGGUGCAAUGGAUAGCACGCCACGCUUCGAACGUGGAGAUGGGGUUUCGACUACCUCGGUGGGUA